rnacentral:lncRNA from 1 species
CCCGUACUUCAUCCUCUAAGUUAGCAUCCCUACAGUUAAAAAAAACAAACAUUUAAUUCCAAACAACAAUUUCAUUAUUGUCAACAUUAUCACCACAUUCAUCACUACCUCGUACUUCUUCCUCUAAGUUAGCAUCCAUCCCUACAGUUAAAAAAAACAAACAUUUAAUUCCAGACAACAACAAUUAGAAGAACAUUGAGAAUUGCAUAUUUCAUGACAGAUUGCUCAAUGAGAAGAUUCUAAACUUGGUGAUGCUACAAAGAACUACCAUUUUAAUUCCUCAUUUUUCCUAUUCUGAUAAGUGAUACCAAACUAAUGCCUGAUUUUGUAAUCAUAGACACAUGAUACAAAUAUCUAGGCAUGGGAUUUACUUCUUUGAAUAUCUACAUUACUUGUGGAUAGUGCUACGUUACAAAUAUCUAUAGAUAUCCACUUCUAUAUUAGUGUAGUAUGUUGGUAGUCAAACCCCAUGACCGAUGUGGUCUAGUAAGAAGAUAUACUCUUUCUUUUUUCUCUUGAUUUCAGUUUUGGAUGAUUUAUGUAGAACCUGUGACAUGGUUGCGUUAGAAUCUUAUUUAUGGUCAAUGGGUGCUGUAGGUAUUUCUUGUUAUCUAAUGUAUAAUCUCAUAAAUCAUAAAGAAAUAUCCUUAUUUCUCAUCUUGUAUUUGAUCCCAGGAGAGCAGGAAACAAAACCUUUGUCGAAACUUCAACUCUUGUUGGAGUCCAUCUCUGCUCAGCCUGCAUCAGCUGCAGAGCAGAGCUACCUGCUAUUAUGACUCCAUCCAUUUCAAGGCCGAGGUGACACUGUGGGUGGGCGAGUGCACUAAAGACGCUUUGUCAAUUGCUUUGGGGGAGUCUACUUGACAACAUCAAUGUAUUUAAACAUGAAUUUUUUUAAAACAUAUUCGAUAACAUGAAUGAAAAACAGUAUGGCCUACAAUACAAAUGAACAUGUCCUAAAAGAAGAAUCAAAUAUUAAUUUGUUUACUUUUGAGAGCAUCAAUCUUUUUAAAUGCAAGGGUUAAUAGAAGUCUUGAAAGCGAGUAUAUCUAGUAGACAUGAAUACAUACCCGUGACAAACAACUGAAUUUUCUGAGUAGUUGACCAAAUGCUUUGCUAUAACACCCCAAACACUGUAGAAAUCUAUAUUAAAAAAACAUACAAAUACAUCUAGACAUAAAUUAUAAGCACAUAGGGCAAAGUAAUCUGUAUUAAAAAAACUUACAAAUACAUCUAGACAUAAAUUAUAAGCACAUAGGACAAAGUUCAAAUAUACAAGAGAGUAAAUCCUACAGUACAAUACAUAAUGGCCAGAUAACUAAAAAGCCAUUUUUUAAAACCAACUUUAGUUUUUCAAUCUAAAAGAAUCACUUUCCAAUAAGCUGAAACUGUAAAGCUCAGCUACACAGUGGGCAAACAAGUUUCAUAUAAUUCUUUUUCUUUUUUAAGAUAAAAUAAGAUUUUAUUGAUGAAGGGCGAAAAAAUUACAACACGUGCUUAUGAUUGUAGAACAUUUUAUCCAUAACAAUGGCAAAUAAUGCAAUAGUACUAUUCCAUAACAACAUCAAGCACAUGGCGUUAUCAGAAAGCAAGUUAAAACUAUAGAAACAUGGUAUCCCAUAAGAGAAAAAUGAAUUAAUUGUUUGCUAAAGAGUGGAAAUCCAGGAAGUCUUCUUAGCUAAUGCUAAUUUUGCCAACAGUUUAAAGUGCAAACAAGGAUUCCCCACAGAUUACAGUUAUCAUGCACUCUAAACAACAAGAUGUCCCCAAACAUGCAUUACACUAUAUAUAAAACCAGGUGAGCCAAUGAUGACUUUACAAUAAUAAUAUAGCAGACAACUAUAACCAGAGGGAACCAUCAAAUAGUGUGUCAAAGGCUGAUUUUUUUAUUUUUUGGGCGUGUGCAUAGACUGAAUAACAAUUCAGAAGAGAAAGAGUCGAGUGUUCACGAAAAUGUGUCUGAAAAACUAUCAUGCAUUUUAUGUUCCAAAAAUUUAUGAUUGAAAAAUUUCACAUAAUGCUAGAGUUUUCCUUAUCUAAGCUAAAAUCACAAUCAAUUACGAACAUGAUUAGAUUAUAAAUCAAUAAUAACUACAAAAAGCAUAUGCUCAUAUUUGUGGAAAUUCUUCAAUGAUCAUAGGGGAAGGACCUUUAGGAGAGAGAAUCUUACCGAUCUUAAGAUUUGCAAACCCUAACUUCAAUCCAACUGCCCAGCCACAAAAUAACUAUACAAACUCUUUCAAAUCAACAGGUUUGCAACAGGUUCUGUUCCACUGACCUUCCGAUUUACCCCUACCUUCAGGGUCGAUUUGAGAGAGGGACAGGGUCGGUUUGAGAGAGAAUCGGAAGAGUGAGAGAGAGAAUGGUUGAAACUGAUUUCAAAUGGGUUUUUGACCCGCGUGAUUUUUUGUUUCAGCUCGUUUUUUGCUUUGGUCAGUUUCUGAAAGGAACUAUAUAUAUAUAUAUAUAUAUAUAUAUAUAUAUAUAUAUAUUAUUGCAAUAUAUACACACACAUAAAUAUAUGUAC